rnacentral:misc_RNA from 1 species
ACUAGGUCAGAUGCAGGUCGGGAGGUGCAGCAACUGCAGCAGCGAAUAAUUUACCCAUUUAAUGUCAUGACAUGGCUGAAUCGCAAUAUGCCAAGAGCAUUGAGCUCUCACAUGCAGAGGCAUUCAGAAAUAUGAAAAAUGCAAAAAGAUUUGCAAUUGAUAUAGGUGGUUCCCUGGCCAAGCUUGCCUACAUUUCCACAGUACAGAGGAAGAAGUCACUACUGGCAGAGGGCCUUGAUAAUCUGGAGAAUGCAGAGCAUAUAUACACAGUUGUGGAGGACAUUGAGAACCAAGAUGCCUUACAUUUUGUGAAGUUUGAGAGUAAAUUUAUAGAGACCUGCCUGGACUUCAUCCAGGGAAACCUACUGCCAGCAAAUAAGGAGAACCUGAAGAACAAGGUCAUCAAGGUCACAGGAGGGGGAGCCUUCAAGUACAAGGAUUUGAUAACCAGUAAAUUAGGGGUACAGGUAGAUAAAGAAGAUGAGAUGGAGUGUUUGAUAAAAGGUUGCAACUUUCUUCUGAAGAACAUCUCUGAUGAGGCAUUCACCUAUGUCAAACAUGGCAACCCCGAGUACGACUUCCAGGCUGUGGGAUCCGACCCAGAAAUAUUUCCGUAUUUAUUGGUCAAUAUAGGGUCUGGAGUGAGCAUAUUGAAGGUAGAGGCAGAUGGUCAAUAUGAGAGAGUUGGAGGCACGUCAAUGGGAGGAGGAACAUUCUGGGGUCUUGGAUCUCUCCUCACCAAGGCUAAGGGAUUUGAUGAGCUGUUACAACUGGCAGCAAAGGGAGACCACAGGAACAUUGACAUGUUGGUGAAGGACAUCUAUGGAGGAGCUUACAACAGGGUGGGCCUGGCCUCUGAUGUCAUCGCCAGCAGUUUUGGGAGAGCAGCUCGGUCCGCACAGGAGAGACAGUAUGCAGACUUCAAGUCAGAAGAUAUUGCUAAGAGUCUCCUGAUCAGUAUUAGCAAUGACAUAGGACAACUGGCUUAUCUACACGCCAAGUUUCACAAACUGAAGAAAAUAUACUUUGGUGGCUUCUUCAUCCGUGGUCACCCUAUGACUAUGCAGACCAUCUCUUUCGCUAUUAGUUUUUGGUCUAAAGGAGAGAUCCAAGCUCUAUUUCUCAGACAUGAGGGAUACCUUGGGGCCAUAGGAGCCUUUCUGAAAGGAGCUGAGGAGGAGGAGGCUGACAAGUACUCGUGGAUUGAGGACUACGCAGGCAGCUCUGGUCUGCAGAGUCCUAGGACCAGUAAAGUCCCUCUGAGGGAGAGAAAGUCUACAUUUGACAUGCUAGAAUUACACAGGUUCUCCAACCCACUGGUCAACUGUCCACUACUGUUGGACCCAUCCAGUUAUUUCCCUGAUGUAGUGGACCUUACCCAGGACGCGGCCGCCAGGGAGUACUGGCUGCAGUGCUUUGAGGAAGCCACUGAUAAGUUUGUGGAACGUGCUAUUGCCAGUCAGCCAGACUCCGUAGACGCCAGUGACAGGGCUGCCAAGUUCAAGGACAAAUAUUUACAGAGAUUGAAGGAGUUUAAGGCAAAUCCAUCAGCAUUUGGGUCAUUAACAGUCCGUAGUCUUUUAGAUACAAGAGAACAUUUUUUAAAGGAGUCAAGUUUCUCGGACCCAUACAUUCAGCAAAAGCAAUUUGAAAAUGAACAGGCUUUGAAGCAUCUAGAGGACCAUCUGAAGUUUUUAGACAGCUUGUCUUGGCAGGCUAAACAGCUGGCCCUGGUGGAGGGUUUGCUGGCGGGGAAUGUGUUUGACUGGGGAGCCAAGGAAGUGGUGAACAUCAUGGAGGAGGGCCAGUUUGGGUUCACAGAGGCCAGGGCUAGGCUGCAAGCGAGGCCCUGGUUGGUGGAUAACUAUGAGCAGUGGUUAGAGAGGCUGAAAGGUCCCGUCCACAACUGUGCCGUCAUCUUCUGUGACAACAGUGGCAUUGACAUUAUACUGGGAGUGUUUCCAUUUGCCAGGGAGCUGCUCUCUAGAGGGACUAAGGUAAUCUUAUGUGCUAACACCAUGCCAGCACUGAACGAUGUCACAUACAGUGAAGUGAUAAUACUUGCCAAAAGAGUGGCCGCCAUCUCUGAGACGAUCUCCCGGGCGUUAGCAGAGGAGAGACUGGUGAUAAUGGAGUCUGGACAGGCUUCUCCUUGUCUUGAUCUCAGGUAACAGUCUGGACUGGCUUCUCCUUGUCUUGAUCUCAGGUAACAGUCUGGACUGGCUUCUCCUUGUCUUGAUCUCAGGUAACAGUCUGGACUGGCUUCUCCUUGUCUUGAUCUCAGGUAACAGUCUGGACUGGCUUCUCCUUGUCUUGAUCUCAGGUAACAGAAGAAAAUGUA